ACUCCUACGGGAGGCAGCAGUAGGGAAUCUUCCACAAUGGGCGCAAGCCUGAUGGAGCAACACCGCGUGAGUGAAGAAGGGUUUCGGCUCGUAAAGCUCUGUUGUUAAAGAAGAACACGUAUGAGAGUAACUGUUCAUACGUUGACGGUAUUUAACCAGAAAGUCACGGCUAACUACGUGCCAGCAGCCGCGGUAAUACGUAGGUGGCAAGCGUUAUCCGGAUUUAUUGGGCGUAAAGAGAGUGCAGGCGGUUUUCUAAGUCUGAUGUGAAAGCCUUCGGCUUAACCGGAGAAGUGCAUCGGAAACUGGAUAACUUGAGUGCAGAAGAGGGUAGUGGAACUCCAUGUGUAGCGGUGGAAUGCGUAGAUAUAUGGAAGAACACCAGUGGCGAAGGCGGUUACCUGGUCUGCAACUGACGCUGAGACUCGAAAGCAUGGGUAGCGAACAGGAUUAGAUACCCUGGUAGGAUAGCG
rnacentral:rRNA from 1 species